CCUCCUUUACGAAAUUGAAGCGCCUAUCCGGCGUCAAGCGCUCACACAAAUUGCUUGGUCUUUUGGGUUAAUUCCGAGCUAGGGUCUGUAGCUCAGUUGGUUAGAGCGCACCCCUGAUAAGGGUGAGGUCGGUAGUUCAAAUCUACCCAGACCCACCAUUAUUUCCGCGAUACAUAGUCUUGCGACCCUAUGUGCCGAGUCAGGCACGCCGGGCAGAGCGCGAGAUAGGUCGCUGCGGUCCCUGUAACCACCUUUCGGUGCGCAUGCACCGUUCCGGGGCCAUAGCUCAGUUGGGAGAGCGCCUGCUUUGCAAGCAGGAGGUCGGCGGUUCGACCCCGCCUGGCUCCACCAAAAUUGUCGAUGUUGUAAGCGACUGGUUUCGUUGCAGCAUCUCGCUCUUUAACAAAUUGGAUAUUGAGUCUGAUAAAGGCGCCGACAGAUCGUGUGAACGACCUGUCAUUGGGUGAUUUAUCUA
rnacentral:tRNA from 1 species